GACGAACGCUGGCGGCGUGCUUAACACAUGCAAGUCGAACGGAAAGGCCCUGCUUUUGUUGGGUGCUCGAGUGGCGAACGGGUGAGUAACACGUGAGUAACCUGCCCUUGACUUUGGGAUAACUUCAGGAAACUGGGUCUAAUACCGGAUAGGAGCUCCUGCUGCAUGGUGGGGGUUGGAAAGUUUCGGCGGUUGGGGAUGGACUCGAGGCUUAUCAGCUUGUUGGUGGGGUAGUGGCUUACCAAGGCUUUGACGGGUAGCCGGCCUGAGAGGGUGACCGGCCACAUUGGGACUGAGAUACGGCCCAGACUCCUACGGGAGGCAGCAGUGGGGAAUAUUGCACAAUGGGCGGAAGCCUGAUGCAGCAACGCCGCGUGCGGGAUGACGGCCUUCUGGUUGUAAACCGCUUUCGCCUGUGACGAAGCGUGAGUGACGGUAAUGGGUAAAGAAGCACCGGCUAACUACGUG
rnacentral:rRNA from 1 species